rnacentral:rRNA from 1 species
AUUGAACGCUGGCGGCAUGCUUUACACAUGCAAGUCGAACGGUAACAGGUUAAGCUGACGAGUGGCGAACGGGUGAGUAAUGCAUCGGAACGUGCCCGAUCGUGGGGGAUAACGCAGCGAAAGCUGCGCUAAUACCGCAUACGAUCUGAGGAUGAAAGCGGGGGACCGUAAGGCCUCGCGCGAUCGGAGCGGCCGAUGUCAGAUUAGGUAGUUGGUGGGGUAAAGGCUCGCCAAGCCAACGAUCUGUAGCUGGUCUGAGAGGACGACCAGCCAGACUGGGGCUGAGACACGGCGCAGACUCCUACGGGAGGCAGCAGUGGGGAAUUUUGGACAAUGGGCGAAAGCCUGAUCCAGCAAUGCCGCGUGCAGGAAGAAGGCCUUCGGGUUGUAAACUGCUUUUGUACGGAGCGAAAAGGUUCUCUCUAAUACAGAGGGCUCAUGACGGUACCGUAAGAAUAAGCACCGGCUAACUACGUGCCAGCAGCCGCGGUAACAC